rnacentral:rRNA from 1 species
UUGGGUGAUUAUAGCGUCAGGGCUCACCUCUUCCCAUUCCGAACAGAGAAGUUAAGCCUGACAGCGCCGAUGGUACUGCGAUAGCGGGAGAGUAGGUCGUCGCCACUU